CCAUGCUGAAAAAAAUGGCACCCACUGACAUUCUUUGACACUUGCUGAAUAUUUAUGGAGAUCAAAUGGUAGAUGUGAGCAGUGUGGUGGAAAGGGCUCAGGUGCUGAAGGAAAGACCUAUCACCUCUUCAGUCAAGAGUCUGGGCAUGGUUGUUUUUUCUUAAUCCUUCUCUUCUUAAGGAGCAUUUUGUGUGCCGAGGUGACAGGCAGCAGGCCACUGAGCAAACUCUGUCCUCUCACUUACUCCAACUAUGUCCUCUCCCAUUUCUCCAAACCCUGAAGAAUCCAGAGCCAUUUGGACCAUGUUGAGGACAUAUGGGGAUUUUUUUGUUUUUUUUUUCCUUUUUCGUUUUUCUCUUUUUUUUUGUUUUUUUCUUAUUUUUUUCUUUUUUACUUGUAGAAAAAGAUUGUAACAGAUUGUAACUGGCACAGGCUAAGAUUGAGCAAGACAAAGUCCUCUGGGAUCUGUGAGAAAAAAACUUCCCUUUGUAGGAUCAAGAAGACUGGAUCAGCUUAAUACCUUCCAGAUGUUUGAAAAUUGACAAGAAUAGGACAUGGCUUCAGAUGUUCAGGGUUUUACAGAUACCAACUACUGUUAUAGCAGAGCAAAAUGGGGCCUUGAAAGAGGAUGUGAAAAAUUCAACGCAUUAAUCAAGAAAUAGAUGAAGAGAGAAGCAGUCUUUGUAUCCUUUCUGAAAGCAAGAAUUUUUUGCAAGGUGAAUUAAUUCCAGUAAUUCCAGUUUGUUUCCUAUUAAGAAGAAAAUCAGGUAACAGAUGGAAAAAUACUUGCAUGCAACUACAUUUAAUGUUAAAUGAAAGGAAAUAAAAUGGUCUCCACACACUGACCCUUAAUAAAAAAUAGUUAUCAAUUUGCCACAAACUGCAGGCUAAGCCAGGCCCAGAAUAGGUGCUCCUAAGUCAAAUAAAAUAGGAAAUGAAAUGAGUGAAUUAAAUGUAGUGUAGAUUUUUAUGAAAUGUCCAGCUUUGUCAGCCACAGACAAGCAGGAAAGUUAGGGCUGCUCAGUACCUCCUAGGGUUUCAGCAUAAUGUAGUAGAUUAUGUAAUAGUACCUGUUACAUAGAUACUUUACUCUAGUUGAAAAAAUUGUGAGUACCAACACAGAUUGUGCUUGGAAGCAGGUGACAUCAGCUGUUGUAUCGCAUUCUUAAGGCUCAGUGGAUGAGUGCAGAGGUAAUCACAUUCCCUAGCAGCCCACCCUCCUGAAGCUCUUAAGUCCAUCCAACAGUGGGGACAGAAAUGUGUUAGAGAUUUUGAUCUAGUCUAUGUCUGCUCCAAGCAUGAUGAAAAAGCACCCUCCCUCCUUGAUGCCCUGCAGCAAUGAUUAGUUAAUCUGGAAGUCUUCUUCAGGAUGACAGAUGUUGACUGAAUAUAGCAGUGCGAACUGGUAGUGGAAUAAUUUGCAAGUAAUUGGGAGCAUCAGAACAUGUUUAAUAAUGUGCAGUUUUGCAGAUUACGCAUAAUGCGAAAAUAUGACAAACUUUAAGUUGCCAUGACAGCUUUGUUACAAAAACUGUGUGUGCUUUUAUAUGGAAAUGGUGACAGAAGCGAUGCCUGAUUUUUAAGUAACCAGUAGAUGAGCUAGUAUUGAGGCAGGGAGGAAAUUCACAGCAUUCCAGGAGGGGAAUUACCAUGUGGGGAGAAACGUGAGCUUAGGGAUGUCAGCCCUGUGGACAAUUGAGACUGGUGGGAGGAGAAGCAGAGAGUGAGGGCCCAGGAGCAGAGGUUAUUGAUGGACAUAAAUAGUUCUCAGGACUAAAAAAAAAAAAAGACUUAAAAGCUGUUCAGAAUGUGAGUAAAAAGAUGUCCUGUUAACAAGUAUAAAAAUAUCAGCUAAACCAUUGUGUGCCAGAGAUUUCUGUGUAUUAUACAGCACCCUACUUAGUUCUGAGGUUGCAAGUAGGAUGUAGAAACAUCUAGAGUGGAAGGUAUUUGGAUUCAUAUAUCACAAGGCAGGGGAACAGGGAAAAUAAUAACUGUAUACUGUUAGGGAAGGGAGGGAAAGGAGAACUUGGGGGUCCACUGUGCUUGGUCCACUCUCACUCUAGAGGAUGGAACUCCUCACUAUAUGGUAGUGUCAGAUAGCCUGUAUGUCUGCAUGAACCAUGGAGAUGGCUGUGUCACAGAGGUGUUUGUCCUCCAUAGAUAGAGGUAGGAAUGCACAAUGAGUUUAGGAAGUCCUAGAUGCCUUAUGUUUUCAGGGAGAUGGUGGCUGGAGAUGCUGCUUUGAGAUGCUGAGAGUGCAUUGCUGGCAAGUGAUUUCCCUGGGAUGAAGAGCCCCUGGACUGCAUACUGCAGUUAAGGCAGCUGCUGGGGAAAAGAUGAAACCUGGGCUGCAGGGGCUGAAGAAGGCAUGUACUGAUUAACCACUGAGGUAGUCAGAGUCCAGUAUGUGCCAAAACCCACUGACACUGUUGGAAGUUUUAUUUAGCGAUCAAGCAAGUAGCACAAGCAGGAGACACUUGACCACAAGUCGCAGACAUCGAGCUGUUGAUCUUUUGCUGUUAACACACUGGAAGCUGCAAAUCAGCAUAACUGAGUCCUAAUUCCUCUCUAGUCAGGCAUGAUGAGCUAAUGAACAGACAGCUAAAGGAGUUGAUAGGAGUUUACGUGUCCAAAGAUACACAGAAUUGCUAGGAAAUUCUGCUUGGUUGGAGUUACUCCAUGCAUAAUCAGAGUAUUCACUGUGUGCCAGAAUUCAGUGAGCUUUUUCUAAUGAAGUGACUUUAUAAUAGUGCUGAUCAUUCUCAUGGACAAAGCUAAAGAGUUAGAAGGACACUUGAAGAAAUGUGCAGGAAGCACAGAUUUCAAAUCUCUGGAAAGGAUUUAGAAAUUCCAAAAUAUUGAGAUAUUGUUAUGAGAUCUUGCUGGAUAGUUUUUGAGGAAACAGAAAUGAGCGUUAAUAAAGUUUCAGAAGACUGAUGUGUAUAGAGAAAGUACACUACAGAUAUGAGACUGCAGAAAAAGAAGAAAAUGCAGAUGAAAAAAAGGUAAUUUAAAAGUUAGCUGAAACUGAUGUGAACUAGCAAGGGCUACAUUAACAACAAAAUAAGGAAAUUCAGAAACUAAAAGUUAGCACAGCGGUUUAAAGAAAGUUUAUUUGCCCCAGGCAAUCCUACAGACUUGGGGAGGAGUGGCUGGAAAGCUGCCUGAUGGAAAGGGACCUUGGUGUAGUGAU